UCAACACAAUCCAAUCCCAACUUCUAUCCCUAGCUUAGAAAGGAGACGGUGGCGCGACGCCUCCCCCUCGCCGUUCGCUGCUCCGAUCGGCGCCUCCCUUGCGCCGCCGGGAAUUCGAUCGCCUCCCCCUCUUCUGUCUCUCGUCUUCUUAUUCUCACCUCCAUCGUCUACUCCCUAAAAUAAAAUUCCCAAAUUGAAAACAAAAACCCUAACUCUUCUCCCUCCUUCCUCUCGGCGAAAUCGCCGUUUCACCCUGUCGCCGGAGCGCCAUAGCCGCCGCCUCUGCUCCAUCUCCCUCUCUUCCUUUCUUCCUCGGCGGAAAUCGCCGCUCACCUGUCGCCGGAGCGCCAUAGCCGCCGCCUCGACACCAAUUGAACCCUCGCCGCUGCUACCUACCCAUCGCCGACCUCUGGGCUCGUGAGCGAGCCUCUGUCGGAGCUGUCGAGCCGCCAUCGGAGAGGAGAAGACCUCGCUUCUCUCCGUUUCACCCCUUCUGCCCAGCGCUCCAUCCUCGGCGAUUCCGGCAGCAGAGAGGAGGCAUCGCCUCCUUCUCCCUCUCUCGGCCGUGGCUUGCAGCUGUUCCGCAGAGCUCCUCGGAGUCCCGCCGUUGCCGGUCAACUCUACGAUUAAGCUAAGCCUUCUCUAGUCCCUACCUCUUAGUGGCUUUUAUGUUGAGUUCUUGGAGUAGUAACUAUGUUAGAUUGUUAUGUGAUUAAUGGGGAUUCCUUGAACUUGUUGGGAUUUAUUUGGUUGCUCACUGGAAAGAGCUUAACUCUUUUUAAAAAAAAGAAACUUGCUACUGAACUAUAGCAUAAGGGCAGCCUAUCGUGCUUAUGUUAUAUUGAUUGUGAUUCCUAAGUUGUGGUGACUCUAUAUGAUGGCAUGAAAAAAGAUUGGGAGGAAGGGUGGAGGUGUAUUACCUCUGGAAAAGUCGAAGGAGUGGCUGUCUUUGUUGUUACUCUCGGCUAUGUGCCACUCUUUACUCUCUAUCUUGCUGAAAAUUUGAAGUGUGGGUGAAAGGAGUUGGUGUGUGGUGUGGAGGGGGAUUUAUAGGCAAGAGUGUGUACUCGAGAGGCUUUAAAUGGCUGUUGUACCAUUUGUUGCUAUGUGGCAGAAAAUCUCAACUUUAGUGAUCCUCAUGCAGCACUCUUUAACUGAGAAUUGGUGGUAUUCUAAGGACAUAAGGACUAUGCUUUCAUGCCAUUUGUUGUCUUUCUUCUCCUUUUUGCAGGGGCUUGUUGAGGGGUCAAAAGUUGCAGCUGUUCUUGCCUCUUUUGGCAAGUGUUUUGGUCUACUCUAACAAAGGAGAAAGAGACAACUUGCUGCCACCCAACUGUCCCGGGAGGUAGGCUCGCUGCCUUGGCUCACCGGCUGACCGGGUGGGGUCGCGGUGGUGUGCGGCUCGGGCUCGGAAAAGAAGAGGCCCAACGUGUAGUAAAAGAGUCGGCCUUAGUUCUUAGCCUUUUAGCCCAUACUUGUAAAUUUGUGUACUAGCAUUCUCAUUUCCUUUUUCUUAAACUCACGUGUACUUAAUUAAGUAAGCUAAAGUGUAAUUUGGAAAGUAGUUGCACUUUCUUAGCUAGAAAGUAAAUUCUUCACAUUCUUCU